rnacentral:lncRNA from 1 species
AAACAAUGACUUGUCAAUCGAGCGAGAGUGCGAGCAAAUUAGCUUAGAGAAUGGUUUUGCCUAAAAUGGCAUGAGACGAGUGAAAACAAGAGAAAAAUAGAAACCCAGAAAAACAAAGAGGUGGGGAGGGCAAAGAGCCAAACAUACACUAAGAGUUAGAGGAGGAAGAGAAAGGGAGAGAGAAAAAAAAAGAGAAGGGUGGCCCGCAGUUGGUGCUAAAACUUGUACGGACUGAUGGUUCAGUCGCACGAACCAACCUGAGAUUCUUCCACGUAUGAGGCCACGAGUUGGCUAAACAAGAUUUGUGGCUGCAACUUGGAUCAGCCAUUGUAGGUCUAGGCCUGUCCAUUUGAAAAUUACAAAGGUAAAAAAAAUUGCUUGGUUUUCAAGCGAUAUUAGAGA